rnacentral:rRNA from 1 species
UACAGAGGGUGCGAGCGUUAAUCGGAAUUACUGGGCGUAAAGCGUGCGCAGGCGGUUUUGCAAGCCGGAUGUGAAAUCCCCGGGCUUAACCUGGGAAUGGCAUUUGGGACUGCAAGGCUGGAGUGCGGCAGAGGAGACUGGAAUUCCUGGUGUAGCAGUGAAAUGCGUAGAUAUCAGGAGGAACACCGAUGGCGAAGGCAGGUCUCUGGGCUGACACUGACGCUCAUGCGCGAAAGCGUGGGGAGCAAACAGG